rnacentral:sRNA from 1 species
CCCUAGCCCUGAUGGAAGUGGUAUCCUUUUUCUUGCUUCUUUAGCAAGGAAAAGAUUUAGCGGACAGCAGGAUUAGCU